CACAUGCUUCUGCUUCAAAAAUGAUCCAUGACUAUUGUGUCUUGAUUUUUAUUUAAUGUCAGUGCUGUAUUUUAAAUUCCUGUUUCUUUAUAUUAUAGUGAUAGGCCUCUUGGCCUGGCUGUUCUUGUAAGUCCAAACAUGUUCUCAAUUAACUUGCCUGGCUGAAGAUUGCUUUAAUGAACACACAUACGCACAUGCACACACAAACAUGGGUGCACACGUACAUAAACACAGACAUGCACAUGCGCGUUUUAACAUCUGUUGUGAAUCCAAAAGUAAUUUGCGGAGUGAAACGACAAAGUCAGGAAAAACAAGCAUUUUGGUUGCAAUUCCGUCUGAUUGUUCCAAACAUCACGUGUCCUGCUGAUCAUCAAAGUCUGGAAUUUUUUGAAUAGAGUGAACCUAUGAGGGAGUGUAGGAUCUAAAGCUGGUGGGUGGUUGGGGCUAAGAAAAGCCCUGUGACAUAGUAUAAUGCAGAUAGACUCCUGAGCCGUAUCUACAAAGCUGGAGAAUCUGCAUGCAAACAGAAGUGUGUAUGUUCAUUCCAAGCUAAAAUUCCCUUUUUUAAAUUAACGUGUUUGCAGAGACUAAAGUGUUUUCAGUCAAAAUAGUGGAAAUCUGAAAUUGGGAGCAGACGUGCCAAAUAAAAUUAGAUGCUCGCAUUCGGUUAAAACUACAUUUUUUACUCUGUCGCACUGUGAGCUUACAUGCUACUUUCUUCAAACACCGACACCUUCAGUUUCAUGUAUUUCAAAUGUGCCAUUGUGUGCAUGCUUUUAAUACCAGUUUCACUUCGUUUCUGUGAGGGCGGCACGGUGAUGCAGUGGGUAGCACUGUCGACUAAGAAGGUCCAUUGGUAUGAGUGUGAGAGCAAAUGUCCAGGGUGUAUUCCAGCCUCUCACCCAAUGCAUGCUGGGAUAGGCUCCAACACCCUCCGCGACCCUGACCAGGAUCUAGCGGGAAUAGACGGUGGAUGGAUGGAUGGAUGGACUUAGUUUCUGUAAAAUACCCACAUUUUGUUCUCACAGCACAAUCACUCUAGGAAACCCAAUAUUUUGGUUACUGUAUCUGACCCCUUAGGCUUGAUUAAUCCCUAAAACUGGACUUUACUUCAACAUUGCUACAAACUAUUUGUGAAUGCGACAUGUAGGCCUAAUUAGCAUUGAGUAUGAUUCAUUACUAACUGUUGCAGUUAAGGUUUAGACGCACUGUCAUGUGCACCUCCUUUGAUCUCUACAGUAGAUGGCUUCAUAACAGUAUUUGCUAAAUGAAAAACAAUAAUAAUAUGAAUCUACAUCUAAUGUGUGUGAUCUUAGUGGGAAAGCGACAAAUAAAUGUAUUUUUCAGAACAUUAUUGUGUGAUUUUGUUAUUUAGAAGUUAGCAAUUGAAGGACAGGUUUGUAGAACUUCAUAUUUACACUUGUAUUUUGGAGACGCUGGAGUAGCACGCACAGAGCACUGACAGCACCAAGUUACGUUAUGUGGCAGUGCAUAGCAAGUGUUUGACAACACAUCGUGAAGUGAUAGUAUGCGCAUGCUGGUAUUUGAGUAUAGUCGUUAAUGUUACAGACUUAUGUCCUCGAGUAUUUUACACAAAUCGAGUUUAGGGUGGCGACGAACAUUGGGACAAGAUGCAGUUUCAAGCGGUAUUUCCCCAUGUUCUAUCUCCUAUUCAUUGUACCAAUUUAUGAAUUAUGUCCUCAAAAACAUCAUACAUUUCGUAGUUGAUAGUGAAAUCAUUAGUAGUAAUUACUUGUACAAGACGCUAUAACGCCUAACACUUCAAACAGCGUCCGUAAGCACGCUGUUAUCUAGUCAUCAGCAGAAGACGCGAAUGCGCGCGGUUUUGUCUCGGGCCCUUUAAGACGCGGACUAGGGUGGUGCCAGCAGUAGCAAAGCAAAGUACAGCGAAGCUGUGUGCUCAGGAAGCGGAGAUUCCCAUACAUUUCCCAAAAAAUUGAAGGCGUGUUUACAUUGUUUUAAGGUUUUAAGUUUUAUUUAGCUGCAUUUAAUUCAAUAAUGCUGGAUGGUCGCACUGAUGAGAUUCACCAAGGACAUUUGCUGGCUGCUGGGGUUUGGAAACGAAUCCCCCGGGGAGUCACAGCGGCAGGAGGAGUCCCAAGAGAAAGAAGGCCCAAGCCCUGAGAAGAAUGAGGAGGUCACGCUGUCACAGGACGUCCUGAGUGGGGAGGAGGGUCUCAGUGAGGAGGAGAGAGCCAGGCGCAGAGCAGAGCGGCGUAGAGCCAGGAGAAAGCGUCAACGUGAACGAAAGAAACAAGAUAAAGAGAAGAAGAGUGAGAGAAGAGAGCAGCUCUCAACAGUUACAUUUACCCAUCUCUGUAAUGGAAGAGGACAGAGAGGCAGACAGACAGGCAGGCAGGCAGGCAGGCAGGCAGGCAGGUGGAGAGAUGAUGUACAUGACUGAGUACGCCUGUAAUAGCGGAAUAAGCCACUCUUUGGUUUGGACUGGUGAAAUAAAGAGUUCUUUAUUCAUGUACAUGGCCUUCCUCGUGUCCAUUAUAAAAUAUCACAGGCAUGACAUCACUACUUCUGCUUUUACAGUAACAUAAAAACAGGGAAGAAGGAUCUGCCCCCCC